UCCUUGGACCAUCCCUGAAAGUGUCGGUUCCCAGACACCCCAGGAGAGAGAACAGUGUGGACGCUGCUGACACGAUUGUCCGAAGGUUGGCCAGCUAAACCAGAAGUGUGUGCUUGAGCCAGUUACAAGCAGUGCCUAGUAAUGGGGCUUCCAGUAAAGUCACUCAAAGAAGUCAGUGCAUACAAAGUGGCUGCCAACGCCAUUCAGGCUAGCAAGAAGACAGUGUUUUUGAAGCAAAAUCACAGCUUAAAGAGCCAAAAGAAGUUACACUGUGGACAGAAAACGUACCCUUUUUUGGAGCCAUAGCUGACGGGUCCUGAAGGCGAACCUACGACGCCGACAGCAGGAGGUCCAACAAGCAGCAGCCGCAGAUUUAGUAGGCCUCUAAACAGGCCGACGCGGUAUAAGCACCCCUCGAGGCAAGCCGACAAACGACCACUGCAAAUCUCCCAGCAGCAGCAGCAGCAGCAGCGGUCUCAAUGGAUCUGAUGGCAGCUGACAAAUGCAGACGAUGGUAUCCAGCAGCAGCAACACGACGGAUCCAACCACCCCUGAGAUGGUUGACGCAUGCUAACAGCAGCGUCUCAGGCAAGCGUCGACCGCAACCCACCAGCCGUACUGCAGCCGCAGAUCUUACAGUCAUGUCAUUCAAUGCGCAUAUUAAACAAAUAUGUAGGACUGCUUUUUUGCAUUUGCGCAAUAUC